rnacentral:sRNA from 1 species
AUGCUGUGGUCAUUAAGUAGCCUAAUACUAAAUCCCGGUGCUUUUGUUGUAUGAUCCGCGGGAAUUAAAAUUAGUAGUUUACAGCUUAAAGACGCGCUAGUUCAGAAAGAAAUCAGAUCGACUUGCAGCCGUGGCCUGCAGAUAUUCAACACACAUAGAGAAGAACUGACAGCACCAGUAAGAACAGCCUUGAUUCAAGAUGAGACUUUUCUUCAUUAUCACCCUGUUCGUUGUCUUCGUCGUUGAUACGGCUAAGGCCAAUGCAAAAACAAGGUAUUUGGCUUGCAUGCUCCGGACUCAGCUAUCCACAACCUGUAUUUUAUGGAUCAGGAGGGAAGUAAUAAACAGAAGAUAUACACAGAGUAGGUGGUGCUAUCUUGUAAGGAGAAAUCAAAAUGCGUUUUUUGAGAAUGGUUGCACAGCGCAUGAAUACGCAAUCACGAAUCAUGUCAUUUGCCGUCCAAUACCCAAUCCAGCAAUUUGUGACCCUUUUGGAUGAUUAAUAGAAGCGAAUGUUAAAGUUUCAACCUUUCCAAAGCCAUGAAAUAAAGUUUAAAACUGAAUUUAAAAAAUUUGAAAAAU